rnacentral:rRNA from 1 species
UGGGGAAUUUUGGACAAUGGGGGAAACCCUGAUCCAGCCAUCCCGCAUGUGCGAUGAAGGCCUUCGGGUUGUAAAGCACUUUUGGCAGGAAAGAAACGUCAUGGGUUAAUACCCCGUGAAACUGACGGUACCUGCAGAAUAAGCACCGGCUAACUACGUGCCAGCAGCCGCGGUAAUACGUAGGGUGCAAGCGUUAAUCGGAAUUACUGGGCGUAAAGCGUGCGCAGGCGGUUCGGAAAGAAAGAUGUGAAAUCCCAGAGCUCAACUUUGGAACUGCAUUUUUAACUACCGGGCUAGAGUGUGUCAGAGGGAGGUGGAAUUCCGCGUGUAGCAGUGAAAUGCGUAGAUAUGCGGAGGAACACCGAUGGCGAAGGCAGCCUCCUGGGAUAAAACUGACGCUAAUGCACGAAAGCGUGGGGAGCAAACAGG